ACAUAGGUCAUUUUUCUCUGUUCUCUGGAAUGUUGAUAAUUACACAAGAUUGUUGCGUGUCAGCUUCAAAAUAGAAUGCCAAGCCCAUAUACUACAGGACAGUUUUCCGAAUGAUACUUUAAUACGCUGGCCUACGACAUUUGCGCCGCCAGUGCUUGGAGAGGAUGUGCAUGCGGCGUUGGCAAAACGGGCGACGGACGCGAUACAGCUACGGCACUGGCGGCGGGUCCAAGAGCAAAAGAACCGUGUCCGUUGCGGGGAUCGCCAGCGUGUCGACGGACAAGAAGAACAAAAAUGAUAUAAGAAAAUUAUCGCUACCCAAAGAAUACAAAUUAAUGUGGAAUUUGGAUAACUACACAAGGUUGUUGCGUGUCAGCUUCAAAAUAGAAUGCCAAGCCCAUAUACUACAGGACAGUUUUCCGAAUGAUACUGUAAUACGCUGGCCUACGACAUUUGCGGCGCCAGUGCUUGGAGAGGAUGUGCUUGCGGCGUUGGCAAAACGGGCGACGGACGCGAUACAGUUCGUGUAUUAUCAUGAUGCAUCCUAGCUACGGCACUGGCGGCGGGUCCAAGAGCAAAAGAACCGUGUCCGUUGCGGGGAUCGCCAGCGACAAGACGGACAAGAAGAAAAAAGUUGCUAUAAGAAAAUUAUCGCCACCCAAAGAAUACAAAUUAAUUGUGGAAUGUGGAUAACUACACUAGGUUGAUGCGCAUCAGUUUACAAAAAGAAUGCCAAGCAAAUGUGCUACACCACAAUUUUCAAAACGAUACUUUAAUACGCUGGCCCACAACAUUUGAGGCGCCAGUACUUGGCAAGGAUGUGCUCGCGGCGUUGACAAAACGGGCGACGGACGCGAUAAAGGCCAAAAGAAUAUUUUCAAUACACGGAUAUUAAUUAUCCAAUAAUAUCAGAGGAGCUCAAGAAGAGUGGUUGGGUAGUAAAAAGAAAUCCAGACAUCAAACCACUGAACUAUGAGUAUUUGCUUACUACAUUGGCUUUAG